GCACUUGGCUCCAGACUAAAUCCCGUAAUACGCCAAGGCCAGCAAACUGGCCUGGAGCAUCCCCGCCCCAGGCACACUCUGCUCUUCUCCAUCCUGUUCCCAUUGCCCCCUCCUAUGGUGCCCUCUGGGGGUGGGGGGACUCUCUUCCCUUCCUUCUCCCCCUGGUGAUGACUCCUUCUGAUCCUGGCUAGAGUAGCACUUCUCAAGACGAGAUGCCUGCCCUCCCAGACCUGUCAAAUCCUCAACUGCACAGGCUCUCACGGAUUCCUUUUAACUCAGCUUCUCUGUGCUUGUUGUCAGUGUGAGGAUCUGCUGACCACCCCUCCCCACGAGAUGCAGGCCUCGCCUCUGUUCUGAAGCAGCCAUCUGCAGGAAUUAAAUACUGUGUCGACUACCAUUCAAGGCACCCACUACAUUCCAGAUUCCAGAAGCUCUCUGAGACCCACCCCACCCGGCCCCGCUACCCACUCACCUACGAGGUUGAUGGGCAGGUCAAGCUUGGCAGCAGACACGAUGGCGGAACAAAUGGUGGCGGCUCCUCCCAUGUCAGCCCUCAUGAGGUCCAUGUUUGCAGACGCCUUUAUGGAGAUGCCACCACUAGGGGGAAAGGACAAUGUGUAACGAUAACAGCAAGGAAGAGGGCUGGAG